rnacentral:rRNA from 1 species
GUGGGGAAUCUUAGACAAUGGGCGCAAGCCUGAUCUAGCCAUGCCGCGUGAGCGAUGAAGGCCUUAGGGUUGUAAAGCUCUUUCGCUGGGGAAGAUAAUGACGGUACCAGCAGAAGAAGCCCCGGCUAACUCCGUGCCAGCAGCCGCGGUAAUACGGAGGGGGCUAGCGUUGUUCGGAAUUACUGGGCGUAAAGCGCGCGUAGGCGGACCAGAAAGUUGGAGGUGAAAUCCCAGGGCUCAACCUUGGAACUGCCUUCAAAACUCCUGGUCUGGAGUUCGAGAGAGGUGAGUGGAAUUCCGAGUGUAGAGGUGAAAUUCGUAGAUAUUCGGAGGAACACCAGUGGCGAAGGCGGCUCACUGGCUCGAUACUGACGCUGAGGUGCGAAAGCGUGGGGAGCAAACAGGAUUAGAAACCCUUGUAGUCC